rnacentral:rRNA from 1 species
UACGGGGGGGGCAAGCGUUGUUCGGAAUUACUGGGCGUAAAGGGCUCGUAGGCGGCCAACUAAGUCGGAUGUGAAAUCCCCAGGCUUAACCUGGGAACUGCAUCCGAUACUGGAUGGCUUGAAUUCGGGAGAGGGAUGCAGAAUUCCCGGUGUAGCGGUGGAAUGCGUAGAGAUCGGGAAGAACAUCGGUGGCGAAGGCGGUCUGCUGGGCCGUUGCUGACGCUGAGGCGCGACAGCGUGGGGAGCAAACGGG